rnacentral:rRNA from 1 species
UGAGGAAUAUUGGUCAAUGGGCGAGAGCCUGAACCAGCCAAGUCGCGUGAAGGAUGAAGGUUCUAUGGAUUGUAAACUUCUUUUGUAAGGGAAUAAAAAGUGGUACGUGUACCAUAUUGUAUGUACUUUACGAAUAAGGAUCGGCUAACUCCGUGCCAGCAGCCGCGGUAAUACGGAGGAUCCAAGCGUUAUCCGGAUUUAUUGGGUUUAAAGGGUGCGUAGGCGGACCUUUAAGUCAGUGGUGAAAGUUUGCGGCUCAACCGUAAAAUUGCCAUUGAAACUGAAGGUCUUGAGUGCAAAUGAGGUAGGCGGAAUGUGUUGUGUAGCGGUGAAAUGCUUAGAUAUAACACAGAACCCCGAUUGCGAAGGCAGCUUACUGGGAUGCAACUGACGCUGAGGCACGAAAGCGUGGGGAUCAAACA